rnacentral:rRNA from 1 species
GACGAACGCUGGCGGCGUGCUUAACACAUGCAAGUCGAACGGAAAGGCCCUGCUUUUGUGGGGUGCUCGAGUGGCGAACGGGUGAGUAACACGUGAGUAACCUGCCCUUGACUUUGGGAUAACUUCAGGGAACUGGGGCUAAUACCGGAUAGGAGCUCCUGCUGCAUGGUGGGGGUUGGAAAGUUUCGGCGGUUGGGGAUGGACUCGCGGCUUAUCAGCUUGUUGGUGGGGUAGUGGCUUACCAAGGCUUUGACGGGUAGCCGGCCUGAGAGGGUGACCGGCCACAUUGGGACUGAGAUACGGCCCAGACUCCUACGGGAGGCAGCAGUGGGGAAUAUUGCACAAUGGGCGGAAGCCUGAUGCAGCAACGCCGCGUGCGGGAUGACGGCCUUCGGGUUGUAAACCGCUUUCGCCUGUGACGAAGCGUGAGUGACGGUAAUGGGUAAAGAAGCACCGGCUAACUACGUGCCAGCAGCCGCGGUGAUACGUAGGGUGCGAGCGUUGUCCGGAUUUAUUGGGCGUAAAGGGCUCGUAGGUGGUUGAUCGCGUCGGAAGUGUAAUCUUGGGGCUUAACCCUGAGCGUGCUUUCGAUACGGGUUGACUUGAGGAAGGUAGGGGAGAAUGGAAUCCCUGGUGGAGCGGUGGAAUGCGCAGAUAUCAGGAGGAACACCAGUGGCGAAGGCGGUUCUCUGGGCCUUUCCUGACGCUGAGGAGCGAAAGCGUGGGGAGCGAACAGGCUUAGAUACCCUGGUAGUCCACGCUGUAAACGGUGGGUACUAGGUGUGGGGUCCAUUCCACGGGUUCCGUGCCGUAGCUAACGCUUUAAGUACCCCGCCUGGGGAGUACGGCCGCAAGGCUAAAACUCAAAGGAAUUGACGGGGCCCCGCACAAGCGGCGGAGCAUGCGGAUUAAUUCGAUGCAACGCGUAGAACCUUACCUGGGUUUGACAUGGAUCGGGAGCGCUCAGAGAUGGGUGUGCCUCUUUUGGGGUCGGUUCACAGGUGGUGCAUGGCUGUCGUCAGCUCGUGUCGUGAGAUGUUGGGUUAAGUCCCGCAACGAGCGCAACCCUUGUUCACUGUUGCCAGCACGUUAUGGUGGGGACUCAGUGGAGACCGCCGGGGUCAACUCGGAGGAAGGUGGGGAUGACGUCAAGUCAUCAUGCCCCUUAUGUCCAGGGCUUCACGCAUGCUACAAUGGCUGGUACAGAGAGUGGCGAGCCUGUGAGGGUGAGCGAAUCUCGGAAAGCCGGUCUCAGUUCGGAUUGGGGUCUGCAACUCGACCUCAUGAAGUCGGAGUCGCUAGUAAUCGCAGAUCAGCAACGCUGCGGUGAAUACGUUCCCGGG